UCGAGCGAACAGACGAGGAGCUUGCUCCUCUGACGUUAGCGGCGGACGGGUGAGUAACACGUGGAUAACCUACCUAUAAGACUGGGAUAACUUCGGGAAACCGGAGCUAAUACCGGAUAACAUGUUGAACCGCAUGGUUCAACAGUGAAAGACGGUCUUGCUGUCACUUAUAGAUGGAUCCGCGCCGCAUUAGCUAGUUGGUAAGGUAACGGCUUACCAAGGCAACGAUGCGUAGCCGACCUGAGAGGGUGAUCGGCCACACUGGAACUGAGACACGGUCCAGACUCCUACGGGAGGCAGCAGUAGGGAAUCUUCCGCAAUGGGCGAAAGCCUGACGGAGCAACGCCGCGUGAGUGAAGAAGGUCUUCGGAUCGUAAAACUCUGUUAUUAGGGAAGAACAAAUGUGUAAGUAACUAUGCACGUCUUGACGGUACCUAAUCAGAAAGCCACGGCUAACUACGUGCCAGCAGCCGCGGUAAUACGUAGGUGGCAAGCGUUAUCCGGAAUUAUUGGGCGUAAAGCGCGCGUAGGCGGUUUUUUAAGUCUGAUGUGAAAGCCCACGGCUCAACCGUGGAGGGUCAUUGGAAACUGGAAAACUUGAGUGCAGAAGAGGAAAGUGGAAUUCCAUGUGUAGCGGUGAAAUGCGCAGAGAUAUGGAGGAACACCAGUGGCGAAGGCGACUUUCUGGUCUGUAACUGACGCUGAUGUGCGAAAGCGUGGGGAUCAAACAGGAUUAGAUACCCUGGUAGUCCACGCCGUAAACGAUGAGUGCUAAGUGUUAGGGGGUUUCCGCCCCUUAGUGCUGCAGCUAACGCAUUAAGCACUCCGCCUGGGGAGUACGACCGCAAGGUUGAAACUCAAAGGAAUUGACGGGGACCCGCACAAGCGGUGGAGCAUGUGGUUUAAUUCGAAGCAACGCGAAGACCCUUACCAAAUCUUGACAUCCUCUGACCCUCUAGAAGAUAGAGUUUUCCCCUUCGGGGGACAGAGUGACAGGUGGUUGCAUGUUGUCGUCAGCUCGUGUCGUGAGAUGUUUGGGGUAGUCCCGCACGAGC
rnacentral:rRNA from 1 species